UUUAGGUCUUAAGAAUCCAAUCAGGGUUAUGGAGCAGAGGCAUCCGCCUCAGUGCCAAUCCCAGGCCUCAUUCAGGUGAACUGAAAAGUAAAAGUUUGGCUCUGGGCUCUUGACUGCUCCUUUUUGAUGUAGAAAAAUUGCCUCCAAUUUUAGUAUUUUUUUUAUUUUUAUUUAUUUAUUUAAAGUUUCUCCCCUUAUUUUUAAUGUUGGAAACAUUGGCUCCUCACUUCACUCCCCAUAUGCCAGAUCCAAAGACAACUGAAAAGAAGAUGAUCAUUUUCUUCAAUUGAUCUUAACCAUACCAGUGCAAGUUUUUCAACAUAGACAAGGCCUGAGAGGAAAGGGGACGCUGAGUCUUAUGCUAUCUAUGAAUUAGCACCUCUACACUUUCAUAUACGUUGGAGAGGGACACCUACAACUCAGAUUGCAGCUUCUUGAGACAUCACUGUUCAGGAUCUCCAAAAAUCUUACUGAGAUCCUCCAGCAAAAGGUGGGAAGCGAGAAACUAACAUUUCUACUAUUUAAAAAGGAAAAGCAGAAACAAAGUUUGACUAGUCUUUAUACAUCGUAUAGACGUAUGAAAGGACAAAAACAUUUUGCUUUGCAGUUCACUUUUAAUAACAACACAGACUCAUACACCAGAAAUCCCCUAGUUAAAAGCUAAAAUAACAUAAAGUUCAGAGCCUCACCUUUAAACCACUUCUGCAAUUCCCAGUGCUGGGCCAGCUGUGUGCCAGACAGCUCCUUCAAUGUAAAUUGAAAGUAGUGUGAAGGCCAAUGUAAUUUAUGCUGACAGUAAAUCUCCCCAAUGGGCCAAUAUAGCAACUGGGGAUCAGCAAGAUGUAGGGAAAUCUUGGCCAUCUCUCUAUUUCCCAACCACAACCUCCGUAUUAGCCAUAGGUGCGAUGCAGGAGCUCUCACACCAUCUCUAUACCAUUAGUGUUUAUCCCACACUCAGGUUAUGUUCCCAUGACCAACUGUGCCAGCUUUAAGGUCACUUUGAAUUUGGCGUGUGAUGACCCAGGCCAUAAUCUUCAACCAAGGUAUAUAACAGAUUUAUUUUUAAACAUUUCAUCUCUUUUUUAUUCAUCUGCAUUGAAGACUGUUUUAACAAGUGAAAAAAAUCAUUUCACCAUCACUGCCAAGGUACAUGAAAGACACAUUCUGAUAUAUAGGGAGAAAUGUUAAUGGCUUGCCUGCUCAUCUUUAUGACUAGAUUAAUUAAAUGUAACUCUGAGGACAAGAAGCAAAUAUUUAUUAAUGUUUAUGUUUUAGAAACAUAUGCCUUAAAUUUGCCUUUGUUAAAAUAGGGCCCCAAUCCGGCAGGCAUGUACUUAACUUUUAGCACAUAAGUAGUCCUAAUCAUGGCCUAAAAUGUUAAUAGGCAAAAACAAAAAGCUAAAUACAAAAACACUGUUAAAAAAAUCAUUCUUUGAGCUAACCUUCCAUUGCGUUCAGCACUUCCAACAGAAGCUUUAAGUAUAGUUAUUUCAGUUUAUCAUUGACUUGAUUAUAUUUUCAUUCCACCCUGUUAAAUAAAUUACCCUCUCUUUUAAUCCACUCUCCCUAGUUGAAAUCUUUUAAGCAAUACUUUAGUCACAAUGUGCUCGCUAAUUUAAUCCAUGAGCUACAAGAAUUUAUUCCUACUGACAAAAAAAUAUUGCUAACUGUGAUUAGACGUCUUGAUUCCUAGAAGUCAAAUUGUCAUGUCAUGAUUACAUUGUAUAUAAUUGACUCCAAAAGUUGUAAUAGUUAUUUUCCAGAUAAAUUAUUGAUUGGUUUUUCCUACUUCUUAAAUCCAAAGCUUGGUUACAUUAGCAACUUUCCCAUAUCCACUGGGAUUUAAAAUGUUUCUGAGCUAUAGGACAUCUGCUAAAAGAAAGAAGGCACAUCAUGCUGUGCAAGGUAGGACUUUUCACAUAGUUAUCAUGUCGAUAGGUAAUGUUGCUAUUUUAAGACACAGCAUUUAAUAAAUUGAUUGUUAUCUACAAAGGUCUAAUUUCAAAGACUACUCUUUUUUAAGCAACACAAAGCAAAGGAUUGUAUUUAAUGGUAGAGCAAAUUGCAUGAAUAAAGAACAGUUUCAUUU